UAAAAAUAUAUAAACAUAUGGAAAAAAGCUGUACACUGUACAAGCUUAAAUGGGUGAAUUGUAUGAUAGGGAUGAAUCGUAUAUCUCAGUAAAGCUAUUACCAAAAAAAAGAAAGAAAGAAAGAAAAAAAAGUGGGGAGCAAGAAGGGCAGAAAAGAUGAAAUUUUAGACAUCAAGUAAAUCAAUCACUGUAUUUUAAAAUUGGAAUCACUUUAAAACGUUACUAAAAACAUCAUUUCAACAAACAACGAAAAUAGCAAUAAAAACUACCAUUUAGCUAGCCUGUACUAUUCACCAUGAACUUUUUUUGCACACUGAAUCUCAAACUCCCCUGGCCUUCAGAUAUUGUCCAUUUCCAUUAUGCAGUUAAAUAAGAGUCAAGUCAUAACUUGCUUGUGGUCAUACAGAAAACCAAUGGAACCAGAACACGUACCCAAGCUUACCUGAAGUCUAAGCUAUGCUCUUUCCCCUACAUUAUGACAUCGUGAUAAAGAGACAGAAUCACAUUUUCUCGACCAGGCACAUGCCCAAGGGCAAUUACUACAUGAGUAAUUUGGGUAUACAGUAGGAAAAAGCACUGACCCAAUGUCGUGGCACCUGUAUUGCAUGAGGUUUUCACUCAUUCUUUAAACAGAGAUUCCCUGAAAGUCUACAAUCCGCAAAGUAAAGAGAUGGCUGUUGACAUUUUUUCAGCAGGUUCACAAUGUGGUGAAGAAUUCCAUCACUAACAGCUUGAAGGACCUCAACUUCCAGGCUGGAAGUGAUACACUUCUGCCUCAUGAACAAAAACAGCCCAGCCGUCUAAAUCUCCCGCUCGUCUUCCUCUUCAGAUUUGUGAGACUUUAAAUGUGAAGAUAUUUAUUUCUGUUCUGCAGGGCCAGUUUCUGAAUGCAGAAGGAAGAGAAGGAGCAAACGAGAGCAGGCAGCAGGCAGAAGACAGCUUAGUCAUCUUGCCCUGUAUCCCAAAGGAGCUUCGAACCAGCAAGGUGCAAGCAGGAACAGAAAAAUGCUUCACGGACAGUAGUAAUCAAGCAAAAACUGAAAGAUUGGCAUAAAAAAACAAAUACUUUUUUUUUUUAAGUUACAGGCACAAUUUUCAGGGUGCCAGGAAGCACUUGAACAUGCCUUGCUAUCUUUAAAAGCAUUUUUCUAUUAUAGCCCAAGUGAAAACAACAGCUAAAAUAAAACAUUUAUAAUGAUCCCAACCCCGAACACUAUUUUUUACAACUUUAUCGAGUUUUAUAUCAUAAAAUUCACCCGUUUCAAGUGCACAAUUCAAUGAUUCUUAGUAAAUUUACUGAGUGGUACAACUAUCACCAUAAUCAGUGUUAGAGUAUUUUCAUGACCCUAAUAAGAUCUCUAACGUGUAUUUACAUCCACCCCCAU